rnacentral:miRNA from 1 species
UAUUUGAGGAUGGAGGUAGUA